CAACCCGAAUAACGCUCAACAAGGGCUAAGAAGCAUCUAUCGCCACUUUCAAAAAAAUCGACACUCACGGACUUGAAGGGGCGUUCCGGGGGUGGAUCGGAUUAGAUUGUCUCUUGGCCCAACGAAGGCCAAAGGAUAGGAGCACGGGCACAAUUGAAAGUGCGGGUCAAACCCCGAUGCGGGAGGUGCAAAAGGUGGAGCACUUCCUUACGAGCCAUGGUGGGAACGACUAUCCUCUGGCAAUCAACCAGGACCAACUCAUCCUCAACGGUUGGAUUCUCCUGGCCGGCCUUCUUGAGGAGAUCAAGUGUGGGAUCAGCAUCCAACUCGCUCAUCUGAAUGGAGCUGGCGAUCACGCUUCGCACAUGAAAAUCUGGUCCAGUGUCCUCCACAUUCCAACUUCCCUCAACUUCUCCCACGGGAUCUUCGACGGGUGAUCGGCUCAAUACGUCCGCGAUAGGGACUGCGAGGUGGGAGUUACACAAACUCUAGCAGCCAAAAAAGGAAAAAGAGCGUUAGUAGGGAAGAACCAUGACUUUUUUGCUUCAUUCAAAACUUUUGAAAUUAUGUGAAGACAGAUACAAACAAAAGUGAUUAAACUUCUUAUGAAUGAUUUGAGUUUAUGCGAGAUUG